CAGCGGGACCCACGGGGACAUCGGGACCCGUGGGGACAUGGGACGCCGCCGGUGACACCGCCACCGCUGUGGGGACCCGCGGGGACGUCGGGGGACGCGGUGGCACCGUGGUGACGUCACGCGGUGUCACGCGACGCGUCCCCUCCAAUAAAGGCCGGUGGCCGCUG